rnacentral:rRNA from 1 species
AGAGUUUGAUCCUGGCUCAGGACGAACGCUGGCGGCGUGCCUAAUACAUGCAAGUCGAGCGAGCUUGCCUAGAUGAUUUUGGUGCUUGCACUAAAUGAAACUAGAUACAAGCGAGCGGCGGACGGGUGAGUAACACGUGGGUAACCUGCCCAAGAGACUGGGAUAACACCUGGAAACAGAUGCUAAUACCGGAUAACAACACUAGACGCAUGUCUAGAGUUUGAAAGAUGGUUCUGCUAUCACUCUUGGAUGGACCUGCGGUGCAUUAGCUAGUUGGUAAGGUAACGGCUUACCAAGGCAAUGAUGCAUAGCCGAGUUGAGAGACUGAUCGGCCACAUUGGGACUGAGACACGGCCCAAACUCCUACGGGAGGCAGCAGUAGGGAAUCUUCCACAAUGGACGAAAGUCUGAUGGAGCAACGCCGCGUGAGUGAAGAAGGGUUUCGGCUCGUAAAGCUCUGUUGGUAGUGAAGAAAGAUAGAGGUAGUAACUGGCCUUUAUUUGACGGUAAUUACUUAGAAAGUCACGGCUAACUACGUGCCAGCAGCCGCGGUAAUACGUAGGUGGCAAGCGUUGUCCGGAUUUAUUGGGCGUAAAGCGAGUGCAGGCGGUUCAAUAAGUCUGAUGUGAAAGCCUUCGGCUCAACCGGAGAAUUGCAUCAGAAACUGUUGAACUUGAGUGCAGAAGAGGAGAGUGGAACUCCAUGUGUAGCGGUGGAAUGCGUAGAUAUAUGGAAGAACACCAGUGGCGAAGGCGGCUCUCUGGUCUGCAACUGACGCUGAGGCUCGAAAGCAUGGGUAGCGAACAGGAUUAGAUACCCUGGUAGUCCAUGCCGUAAACGAUGAGUGCUAAGUGUUGGGAGGUUUCCGCCUCUCAGUGCUGCAGCUAACGCAUUAAGCACUCCGCCUGGGGA